rnacentral:rRNA from 1 species
AUUGUUGAGACCUGCCCAGCAGAAAGACCCGUGAAC